AAAAAAAAAAACUUAAUGAAUUCUUGUAUGAGGUAAAAUUAGCGGGCGCGCGAUACGUUUUACUAGUUGAUGGUUGUACUAAUAUGGAUUCGAGGGUCGAAGAGUGAGAAACAAGUGAAUAGUAUAUGCUUCUAAUUCAAGGGUUGAAGAGUGAGAAACAAGUGAAUAGUUUAUGCUUCUAAUAUUAUUCCACCUCAACUCUCCUUAAUCUUUUGUUUGUAGUUUAAAAAGGACUUUUUUCGAAAAUAACCCUGUAAAAUUUCGUAUUUGCCAAACUAACCCUGUGAAAUUUUUAUUUGUGAAACUAACUCUCCUCUCGCCACGUGGGCGCCACGUCAGGCAUUCCUCAAAAAGACGGUGAAUCGUUCACCGUCUUUGAUAUUUGUUGUGAAGCCGGUGAAUGGUUCACCGUCUUCAUAAGACGGUAAACCAUUCACCAUCUUUAGUACAAAUCCCUACACUGCGCAAAUCUUUCCAAGUCCAUAAUAUGGUGUCCUUGAUAAGACGGUGAAUCUAUCCCCGUCUUCUCGAGGGCACAGAAAAGGCGGACUUGAGAGAGCGGAAAGGGAAAAGGGCGGAAAGGAGAAUUUUGCACUAAAGGCGGUGAAUGAUUUACCGUCUUCUAAAGACGGUGAACCAUUCACCGCUUUUAUAACAAAUUAUAAAGACGGUGAACGAUUCACCGCCUUUUUUAGGAAUCCCUGACGUGGCGCCCACGUGGCGAAAGGAGGGUUAGUUUUACAAAUAAAAAUUUCACGGGGUUUGUUUGGCAAAUACGAACUUUCACAGGGUUAUUUUUGAAAAAAGUCCGUUUAAAAACGCAAAAACUUAAUAGUCUGAAUUGUAACUUCGUCG
rnacentral:lncRNA from 1 species